GAUGAAGAACGUAGUGAAAUGCGAUAAGUAAUGUGAAUUGCAGAAUUCAGUGAAUCAUCGAAUCUUUGAACGCACCUUGCACUCCUUGGUAUUCCGAGGAGUACGCCUGUUCGAGUGUUAUGAAGCUCUCAAAACGCAAUUGGCUUAAAACCUGAUUGUUGUUUUGGAUUUGAACUUUGCCGUGUUAUAACGGCUGGUUUUAAAAGUAUUAGCUGGUACUAGAACGAAUUGGUUCUACUCAACGUGAUGAUUAUCUGAUCGUUGAGGACAUUCCUUUCACGAGGAAUGGCCAUAGUAAAUUCAAUGGACUGCUUCUAAUCUGGCUUUAAUUCUUUAUUGGAUUAACCACUUUUCAAAUCUGACCUCGAAUCAGGUGGGACUACCCGCUGAACUUAAGCAUAUCAAUAAGCGGAGGA
rnacentral:misc_RNA from 1 species